GUCUAUAUGGUGGUUUAUAAAGUCUAGCCUGCCCACUGAAAGUAAUUAAAUGGCCGCGGUAUUCUAACCGUGCGAAGGUAGCAUAAUCAUUAGUCUUUUAAUUGAAGGCUUGUAUGAAUGGUUGGACAAGAAACGUUCUGUCUCUAAUAUAAAAUUUGAAAUUAACUUUUAAGUGAAAAGGCUUAAAUAAAUUAAAGUGACGAUAAGACCCUGUAAAAGUUUAUAUAUUAAAAAUUGAAUUUAUAAAAUUAUUAGUAAAAAGAUUUUUAGUUUUUAAAAUAUUUCGUUGGGGCGACGGAGAACAUAAUAUGUAACUGUUUAUAAGUGCAAACAAAUUUAUUUGAUUAUAAUGAUCCAAUUUUUUGAUUAUAAGAUUAAGUUACUUCAGGGAUAACAGCGUUAUUUAUUUUGAGAGUUCAUAUCGACAAAAAAGUUUGCGACCUCGAUGUUGAAUUAAAAGUUCUUUAUAAUGAAGUAAUUAUAAAAGAAAGUCUGUUCGACUUUUAAAUUUUUACAUGAUUUGAGUUUAAACCGGCGUGAG
rnacentral:rRNA from 1 species